AACCUGCACGAGCACGUCUGCCAACGGGGCUGCGGGCGAGUGUGGGCUGGGGUCGCUGCACCGCUCGUGGGCAGGAGGAAGGACCCAGCCUCGACCCUUCAGUCCUCGACAGACAAAGGCUCCUCUGGCGUCCUGGCUGCGGUUAGCGGAAGUCCAGCUUGUAGCGCCCGCUCAGGCUCGGGGCGCAGCUCCCGGUGACCCACAGAGCCCUGCGUGGCCUUUGUGAGGUCAUCUUUUCUGCGACAAGGGAGCUUCCGGCUGUUGUCCAAGCGUCCUCACUGUGGUUCUGGGCUGGCCUCGGGAGGCCCGUACGCAGCGCAGCACGCCGGGGCCAGUCCCUGCGGCAGCGGUUUGGAGCGUGCGGGUGACGCUCUUCAGCACCUGGGCAGACCUGUGCUUUGUUCUUCCAUUUAUUUCACACCAUUUCUGCUAGAACCAGAAGUGUUCGCUGCCUCAAAAACAGUUGUUAGACGUGAAAGUCGGAGUAAAGGCUUUGGGGUCAAAGGCUUAGUUUUCUGGAUGCUGGGGCCCGGAGGCAGAAGGAACGUCGCAUAUCGGCCAUGGAUUUGGAAGGACAGGUCGCAUCAGAGCAGUUGCUAAAGAACCCCCAGGGAGGACGAGGGGGAGAGGAGAGGUGUGAGGGGCGCAGACACGGGGGACCCAGGGGAGCGGGGAGUGCAGGGAGGAGAAAGGCUGUAGGGUGUGAGUAGCACACGGGCUGGGCCGGCUGGAGGGUCUCCUGCUCCCCAGUGGGGUCCCGCAGGCCAGAUCUGGGGGCCCGAGCCCUCUCCCCUGCCUUCCUCAGUCAGGAAGGCCCUGGCCUCGAUGGAGGUCAGCCUCUCCCUCUGGGCACAGGACGUGGAGGGACAGCCCACCUGUGGCGGAUACCAGGCAGGAGCUGCAGGGGCCUCAGGGGACACCUGGAGGGAAGAGGACCGUAGUGACCUGGCUUAUGUGGAUUAAGUUCCUGCCACGCAGUGGAGAAGACAGAAAUUGGGUAGGUCACAGGAAACACACAUUUGUAGUAUUUGUCUAUGUUAUAAUAGGAUUCCAUUUAAAAAUCUGCCACAUUCCUGAAAACCUACCACUCCCCUGUGAAUCAAGUGGUACCACGCUUAUCGGAAGGUCUUUGGCAGGGCGAAAAGAUCUGCGUGCUAGUCUCAGCUCCACAUGGAUUAUGAGGACUUCAAAGUUCAUUUAAUUGAGAUUAAUUCACACAUGGGACCUUAUAGCUGUUAUGAGUUCAGAUUCUCCAUCGGCUUCCUGGAGAUGGAAGUGAUCCUGCAGCUUCGCAGGAGCCCUCUGGGGACUUGCAGCUCCAGGCAGAUGUUGGGCCUGUGUUUCCUCCCUUGCUUCCCACAAAACACUGAGAUACAGAGAUUGGAAUGGAAGAAGAUCUGAGGGGGCAGCUCGGAGGUGGCACUGGGACCUGGUGGGGGCCUCUCUGGCCCAGGCACUGAGCAGGGGUGCCUCCAAAGGGCAGUGGCGUCCCCUCCUUGGCUGGGGUCAGCAAAAGAACAUUCUACAGAGGCUGUGUUCGCAUUUACGGAGGCCCCCGAAGACCUGAGACCAAAUGGAUGGAGUCACACGCCCAGGCAGAGAAGUUAGAACCAGUGAACAUUAAUUUUGGAGAAAGGUCUUAAAGUGGAGUAAGAAUUGAGGUGAUGGCAAAGAAGUUUCUCAACAUGCUCAUGUGAAAGGGCAAACUACGCCGAUCGCCACAGCUUGUGCACAAACGGGCCACCUCGCCCCCAUCUCCGACCUCGCCCCCAUCUCUGACCAGGGACCUGGGGCCACAUCGCCCAUCUCUGACCUCAGACCUGGGGCCACCUCAGACCCUGCCCUUGACCUCGGACCCGGGGCCACCUCAACCCCCGCCCUUGAUCUCAGACUGGGGGCCACCUCGCCCUCUGCCCUUGAUCUCAGACUGGGGGCCACCUCGCCCUCUGCCCUUGAUAGACUGGGGGCCACCUCGCCCCCUGCCCUUGACCUCGGACCGGGGGCCCUGUCGCCCCCUGCCUUUGACCUCAGACCUGGGGCUACCUCGCCACCCUCCCUUGACCUUGGAUUUGCGGACACCUAACCCACAGUCCUUGACCUCCAACCAGGGACCACCUCGCCCCCCGCCCUUGAUGUCGGACCUGGGGCCACCUCACCCCUGGUCCUUGACCUUGGACCUGAAGCCACCUCGCCCCCCGCCCUUGACCCCGGACCUGCAGACACCCCGCCCCCUGCCCUUGACCUCGGAACUGGGGCCACCAUGCCCCCCUCCCUUGACCUCAGACCGGGGGCCACCACGCUCCCCACCCAUGACCUCAGACCGGGGGCCACCUCGCCCCCUGCCCUUGAUCUCGGACUGGGGGCCACCUUGCCCCCCACCCUUGACCUUGGACCUGAAGCCACCUCGGACCUGGAGCCACCUCGCCCCCCACCCUUGACCUCGGACCUGGGGCCACCUUGCCUCCCACCCUUGACCUGCGGACACCCCGCCCCUGGCCCUUGACCUCGGAACUGGGGCCACCUCGCCCACAGCCCUUGAGCUCGGACCUGUGGACACCCCGCCCACGGCCCUUGACCUCAGAACUGGGGCCACCUUGCCCACAGCCCUUGACCUUGGAUCUGUGGACAACCCGCCCACAGCCCUUGACCUCAGAACUGGGGCCACCUUGCCCACAGCCCUUGACCUCGGACCUUUGGACACCCCGCCCCCGGCCCCUGACCUCAGAACUGGGGCUACUUCACCCAUAGCCCUUGACCUCGGACCUGUGGACACCCCGCCCAUGGCCCUUGACCUCGGACCUGGGGCCACCUCGCCCUCCCACCCUUAACCUCGGAUCUGGUGCCACCUUGCCCCCCACCCUUGACCUGGGACCUGGGGCAACCUUGCCCUCCGCCCUUGACCUUGGCCCAGGGGCCACCUUGCCCCCUGCCCUUCACCUGGGACCUGGGGCCACUUCGUCCCCUGCCCUUGACUUCGGACCUGGGGCCACCUCGUCCCCUGCCCUUGAGCUGGGAAGUGGCACCCGCACCUAGUACUUGGUGAGUGUCCCCCACGAAGAUGAAGUGGAGCUCAUCCCAUCUGCACUCAGUUCAGACCUGGCAGAACAUUCCGGAGUCCCUUCCUGCUGCCCUCUCUGCCUGACUCCUUUUGCUCUGCAGACCUCCAUCCUGGACCCUCUCUCCUCUG